rnacentral:rRNA from 1 species
UACAGAGGGGGCAAGCGUUGUUCGGAAUUACUGGGCGUAAAGGGCGCGUAGGCGGCCUUCUAAGUCGAACGUGAAAUCCCCGGGCUCAACCCGGGAACUGCGUCCGAGACUGGAAGGCUCGAAUCCGGGAGAGGGAUGUGGAAUUCCAGGUGUAGCGGUGAAAUGCGUAGAUAUCUGGAGGAACAUCGGUGGCGAAGGCGGCACUCUGGGCCGAUACUGACACUGAGGAGCGAAAGCGUGGGGAGCGAACAGG